rnacentral:rRNA from 1 species
GGGAUUACCUCAGUAACGGCGAGUGAAGCGGUAACAGCUCAAAUUUGAAAGCUAGCUCUUUUAGGGUUCGCAUUGUAAUUUGUAGAAGAUGCUUCGGGUGUGGCCCCGGUCUAAGUUCCUUGGAACAGGACGUCAUAGAGGGUGAGAAUCCCGUAUGUGACUGGGUGCUUUCGCUCAUGUGAAGCUCUUUCGACGAGUCGAGUUGUUUGGGAAUGCAGCUCAAAAUGGGUGGUAAAUUUCAUCUAAAGCUAAAUAUUGGCCAGAGACCGAUAGCGCACAAGUAGAGUGAUCGAAAGAUGAAAAGCACUUUGGAAAGAGAGUUAAACAGUACGUGAAAUUGUUGAAAGGGAAGCGCUUGCAACCAGACUUGCGCGCUGAUGAUCAUCCGGGCUUCUGCCCGGUGCACUCGUCUGCGCUCAGGCCAGCAUCGGUUUCGGUGGUGGGAUAAAGGCCUUGGGAAUGUAGCUCCUCUCGGGGAGUGUUAUAGCCCUCGGUGCAAUGCCGCCUACCGGGACCGAGGACCGCGCUUCGGCUAGGAUGCUGGCGUAAUGGUUGUAAGCGACCCGUCUUGAAACACGGACCAAGGAGUCUAACAUCUAUGCGAGUGUUUGGGUGUCAAACCCAUACGCGUAAUGAAAGUGAACGGAGGUGAGAACCCUUAAGGGUGCAUCAUCGACCGAUCCUGAUGUCUUCGGAUGGAUUUGAGUAAGAGCAUAGCUGUUGGGACCCGAAAGAUGGUGAACUAUGCGUGAAUAGGGUGAAGCCAGAGGAAACUCUGGUGGAGGCUCGCAGCGGUUCUGACGUGCAAAUCGAUCGUCAAAUUUGCGUAUAGGGCGAAAGACUAAUCGA